GAAAUGCGAUAAGUAGUGUGAAUUGCAGAAUUCAGUGAAUCAUCGAAUCUUUGAACGCACAUUGCGCCCCUCGGCAUUCCGUGGGGCAUGCCUGUUCGAGCGUCAUCUACACCCUCAAGCUCUGCUUGGUGUUGGGCGUCUGUCCCGCCUCCGCGCGCGGACUCGCACCAAAUGCAUUGGCAGCGGUUCCUUGCCCCCCUCUUUGCGCAGCACAUUGCCAUUCGAGGCGGCGGCGGCCCGCGUCCAACAAGCUCAACCCCCCCGUCUUUGACCUCGGAUCAGGUAGGGAUACCCGCUGAACUUAAGC
rnacentral:misc_RNA from 1 species